GGCGAAGUGAACUGAUAAAAAAUGGCAAACGGAGAAGGUGAAGUAGUGUGUGUUACCGGAGGCAGCGGUUUUAUUGGUUCAUGGCUUGUUAGUUCUCUACUUGACCGUGGCUACACUGUUCACGCUACUGUUAAAGAUCUCAAUGAUGAGAAGGAGACGAAGCAUUUACUUGGUUUAGAAGGAGCUGAAUCUCGUCUUCGUCUUUAUCAAAUUGAUUUG
rnacentral:misc_RNA from 1 species